rnacentral:lncRNA from 1 species
GAACACCAUCAAUUGGAUAUGAUGUCGGUACUCCACCAUCAUCAUAUCUUCUAGGAACUCUUUUCCUCGUACGAACAGUUGGAGCAAAGUAGUAUGAUGUGAAGUUAGAUGUUUCGGCUGUCAAACUUCCCGCAACUAUUGAACCUUCCACCUUUGCAAGAUUUCUUGUUUUCCCCUUCAAAUGUUUCAUCUGUCGCUCAUACGGAUACAUCCAUCCGUUGUGAACAGGUCCACGAAGCAAUGCUUCAUAUGGUAGGUGGACAACUAGAUGCUCCAUGACGUCAAAA